rnacentral:lncRNA from 1 species
GAUUUCUAAGAGAAAAUGGGCUGCUGCAAUCAUGUUUUCAAUCUAGCCACUACACUUGGCAGGUAAUUGCAAGCCAGGGGCAAGCCACAAAUACCAUUAAAUACAGACAUUAUCGUUCCUGACACCCACAAGCGCCAUCAUAAUAAUGAACUACCAGUAUACUCAGAUUUCCUGAUCACAUGGACUAUACAUUUCACAAGAACUUUUAAAAGUCCAGACGAAUGGAGGAACUCUCCAGGCUGUAAGAUUUCUUUGGAGACUAGAUGAAUUCAGCGGGAUAAAGUUAAUUGAGUUUGAGCCCUUGAGAACAGGGACUGUGGACCUGAGAAAUUAUGCCUGCACACUGAGGUUCCAGUAACUUGAGUGCCUGGUGCUUGAUGAGAAACUUACAUUCCUAUUAGGAAAAGUAAACUGCCAGACUGUCUUCUGAAGUGGCUAUAAUAUUUACACUCCCAUCAGCAGUGUAGAAGGGGUCUCACUAUGUUGUCUGGAGUGCUGUGGUGGAGUGGAGUGGCUAUUCACAGAGCCUGUUCUGCUGGGACACAGAAUCACUUGCUCCAUCUCAUACAUUGAUGAUGAUUAAUUUGUAUGUGUACCUUCCAAAAAAGAUGGUUGUGUUUGAAUGGAGGCCUUCUGGACAGGAAAAUAAUCACAUCCUUCCUGAGAUAAUGAGCACACAAUUGCCUGGAUACCUGAAGGAAUGGAGACAGCGGCAGAAAACACUGCAGAGAGGUGGAAACAUCCGUUAAUAUUUUAAAAUCCCAUUACUGCUACCAACAAUAAUAAUGGAUGCAUAGAAAUAGAUCUGGAUUAGCUGAGCUUGAAACAGUCCAUCUCACACACACACAAAAGAAUUUCAGGUAAUGAAGAAAAGAAAAGGAAAAAAAUAACACAUGGCCUCUGUAACAUUGUUGCUUUUGAACCUUAUUGGAUUUGUGGCAAACUGGGUGCUUUUGGGACAUGAGUCUCCUACCACUCACCUGCCUCUGAGCUCUCCUCUGAGGCCGGUCACUGCCCAGAAGGGAUGCACCUGUCUUCUGUCCUGUGGUCUCUGGGUAGCCCCUGGGUCAGCAUUUUGGGUGCUAGCAUCUGAUGCAACUGCUACAGUUGCUGAUGAGAAAGUAGCUACCCUCCUCCACUCCACCCCUGCCGCCCAGGCCCUGCCACUCCUGCUAACCUGUCAGGCUACAUUUUCAAUUACUGGCUUUGAAAAAUGUCCAGGUGGAUUAAAUCAAUGAAUGCGAUGAGCUGAACACAAGGCAAUGGCAAUUCUGUGGCCUCCCUCGGGAUAAUUGGUGAGUGCAUGGGGUGUUGAAAAUCCAAGCCUGAAAAUCAUUGCUUUGAAGAAAGGGAGGACAACAACCAAACUAUUUCUUCCAUGAAAAUGCAUAACAUUUAAAUAAUGUCCCCGUUCUUCUCAGUGCCCAUCAACCUUCAUUUUUUAAUGCACUGAAAAGUCUAAAUAUUUAUUCAAUUCACAGGAUUUAUUACAGCUUCAUUCAGCUAGGGCACAUACACAUUUUUUAACUACAUGGCACUUUUUAAAUAGCAUCAUUUAAAAAUAAUUAGGAAAUAAUUGUGAUUGUAUUCUAAAGAUGUAAGAUACUAUCUAGUUUUAAAAAGUAACCAGAAAGAGUGUUCCUAAAGGACGACCCAUAAUCAACAGCUAGAAACAGCUGGCAUUUAUUUUACAUAGAAAAACAGUUCGCAUGUAGGGAAUCACCAUCUGACUCACUAAACUGCCCAGUGUUGUCGGGAAAAAAUAGGCUGGUUAGAAAGUCAGCUUGUGGCUAACCAUGUUCCAGACCACCUGGCCUUGCUCUGCUAUGAGGUCAAAAGGCUGGUUUUGUGUUAUCAUGGAAAGAGGUGAGAUUCCAGCCAGACACUUGCCGCGUGCAAGGUCACCUGGGCGUCACCUUUUAGGACGGCUAGAGGAGAUGUCAGGGAUUGAAGGGGGUGGCGAGGAGGAGCUUUGUCCAUAAUCUCUAUAAGCCACUCUCCUUCAUUGAUAACAUAGACAAUCAGAAUUGCCAUUUUCUGUUUCAUCUAAAGUGCUAUGAAACACAGCUUCAGCUUGCUCCUUCCAACAGAUCCCUACAUAGAUGCUCUGGAACGGCCUCUUUGUGUUUAUUAAUGGAAAUUUCCCACAAUAACUGCAAGUGACUAAAAAGAUGCUGUGUCUUUCAUCCCUGUCUCUGUCAUCAUCAUGCUUUCUUAACUAACAUAAUUUUUGAGAAAUAUUGGGAAAAUGCCAACAAAGAAAUAUAAUUUGAAAUUCCACCAUCCAGAGAAAAUCACUUUUCCUAGGGAAUAGAGACAUCUUCCAACUUAUGCAAUUUAUACAAUCAUCUGUUUUUCAAAGGUCUUAAGUAAAUCAUAUUUCAUAUACAUUGAAAUGCUUUCGAUUUGCUUCUGCGGCUUUUUGUAUCACCAUUCAUGGUGUUACAGUUCCUUUUUAAAAUGAUUUAAAAAAAAAAAAAAGACAAGGUCUUUGAAAUUAUUGAGCCACCCAUGCCUAGCCACCAACUUUGUACUAGGGGUGCUGUAUCUUUCCCUUUACGCCUUCAAAUAGACUGCUAGCCUCUGUCCUUAUCAGCACUUUCCAGUUGAAAUUAGAAGGCAGUAAAGGCGAAAUGACACAAACAACAUGGAAUUAGCGUGGCUGACACACAGAGAUCACAGCAGGUAAUGGAGACAGGUGAGGACCCAGUGAGGGGCAUGGGGAAGGGGCUGUGGAGCUCUGAAGUGCAUUUCCCACAUUUAGCCUUGCACUGGAUGUACAAAUGUCCACAUCUCUAAAAUUAAAUUAUGUACCUUAUGGAGCAAUUUGCAUAAAACAAUUUUGUAUCUGUUGUGUGUUUCAUAACCUGCGGUACAUCUGUACAUUUAUAGAUUUUAAAAAAUAGUAUAUAUCCUGCUUUGUAACAUGCUUUUUUUGUUGGCACAUGCCUCUUUAUGUCCAUAAAUAAAUACAGACGUCAUAAUUGCCGA